rnacentral:rRNA from 1 species
AGUCGUAACAAGGUUUCCGUAGGUGAACCUGCGGAAGGAUCAUUGUCGAAUCCUGCGAAGCAGACGACCCGAGAACAUGUUUAACGYACGGGUGUCAGGGACGAGGGAAACCACGAACCUGCGCCCCGAGCGCGGCGUCGGCCAUAGGUCGCUCGUCGUGCACCCAAACAACCCCGGGCGCAUAAAAGCGCCAAGGAAAACAAGAAAGGGAUGGCUUGCCUCUCGCCCAUCCGUUCGCGGAGUGCACGGGAGGGCAACAGGCACCUGAAGAAACAAAAACGACUCUCGGCAACGGAUAUCUCGGCUCUCGCAUCGAUGAAGAACGUAGCGAACUGCGAUACUUGGUGUGAAUUGCAGAAUCCCGUGAACCAUCGAGUCUUUGAACGCAAGUUGCGCCCGAAGCCAUUAGGCCGAGGGCACGUCUGCCUGGGCGUCACGCAUCGCGUCGCCUCCUCAACUCCUGUAUGAGGGGGCGGAAAYUGGCUUCCCGUGCUUGGCCACGGCUGGCCUAAAUACGAGUCCCUUGCGACGGACGCGACGACAAGUGGUGGUUGAUAGUCUCAACUAAGGUGCUGUCGCGCGUCGCCCGUCGAAUAGGGAGACUCUCCGACCCUGAUGCAAGCGUCGUCAUGACGAUUGCUACGACCGCGACCCC